AUGUGGAGUUUUUCCACUCAGCUGGAACAGACCUUGGUAAUUAAGGUUACAGAACAGGGGUUGAGUUCCAGCAAGAGGAGAGAAGAGCUGGGGAGAGGAGAAAACGGAGGAGGGGGAGAAAGGAGGAGCCGCGAGAGAGACAGGCAAACAAGAAACAAACAAAGAGCUAGACAGACAAAGGGACCAUCAGCCCGGGACAGGCAGACAGGCGGGAGGAAGCCGACAGAGGCGCUGGUGCGGCGUGGCCCAGGCUGGACACAUGGGCAGGGCUCUCUUCGUCUGUCUCUACCUAGUCAGGGUCUCCAGUGUGUCGCCCACUGGGUCCACAGCUCUCCACUUUCCCGGGAGCGUGCGCUCUCCUCGGGCCUUUCCAUGCCUUGUCCCUCACCCUUCAGCCUCCCCAGCCACGCCCCAUCCCUCUCACUCCUUCUCUCCCAGGUCACCUUUCUGACCUGCCCUUCACUGGCCAUCUCUGGGAGACUCAGACACUUCCUGUGGGCUUUGGGAGGUUCCCAUAGGAACCCGGCCAGUCCUCUAGGGAUGGACAGGACAGGCAGGGCUCCAGCUCGGGGGACAGCUCCCAGGCCUGCAGAAGGAAAAGUGCAGCAUGGCCUGUGUCCCCACGUCUGGCCAUGCUUAGCCAAGGAGGCCGGAAAGGACCCUCUCCCCGCCCCCUCCAGUGCCUCAACCUUAGACAAAACAGACCUUAGGCAGUGGGCCUGGGGGGAGUGGCUGAUUUACAUGUUGUUUGCAUCUCAUUUGCAUGUCCUGGUUCCCACUUAUCCCGCACACCCUGUCUCUCCAAUUGCAGACUCUCCAGCUCAAUCAGUCCCUAGGAGGGCUGGGGGCGGAGACAGGGUGGGGCUCACACACUGGUGCCUGCCAGUCUUCCCUCCCACACCUCCUGCCAGCACAAGCCACAUUUCUGCCCAGCCAAUGGGCAGUUCCCCUCCUACUUUAGAGCUACCCUCUCAACCCCAUUUGCCAGCCACACAUUGUCUUCCAGACAUGACUUUCACUGUCCUGCCUCUGACCUUUGUUCCCACAUGCCCCCCAGCCUUCCCCAUCCCUCUGUGUUUAACUCCACAUUAGCAUCCGUCAAGGCCAAUCAUUAAGCCCUCCUCUUCCAUGAAGACCUCCCUGAUCACAUAGCCCAGAAGGAUCAUAAAAUUACACUUCUCAGUACUGGAAGGCACUUCAAGAAACCCCAUGGUUUGUCUUACUGGUUUUCAGGUAGACAAUGCAUCACUCUCCCCAUUUCAGGGGAGGCAACUGAGACCCAGAAUCAGUUAAGUUUCCCAGUAUAGGCAGUAUAGGCAGCAAGCAGGGAGGGAGUUUGAGCCCAGGACACUCUCUCACUGUUCCUUGUCCUACUCUCUCUUUGUCAUUCAUUUACCUGGGAGCAAUGCCAUGUUCUGGGAACCUUCUUUUCUGGCCAGUGAGCAAACCAUUGGAUCUUAUUGCUUAACUUCUCCUAGACUGGGAUUUUAGUCUCCCAAAAUCUUCCAGGGUUCCACCACAGAGAACUACUGCAGUUCCCUGAAUCCUCUGUGCCCUUUCCUAACAAUAUGUCUUUGCCCAUGUUCAGUCCCUCUGAAAGGUCUGGCUUUCUUCCCACCCCUUUAUGAAGUAGGAAAACUCCAGCUCCUCCCUCAAAACCCAGCUCAACUAAUCACCUCCUCAGAGAAGCCUUCCCUGAUUUUCCUCCAUGGCUCUCUAGCACCAUAUUGAAGCCUCCGAGGCAGUACUUGCCAUACUCAUGCUGACAUCCCAGCCUCCCUCCUUAACUGAGAGUCCUUCAAGGGCAGGGGUCACCACAUCCUCUUCAGCUCUUUCCCCAGAGCACACAGUGUUUAAUUGGACCAGAUUUCACCACUGCCUUCCUUCCCCAGCCCAGGCCUAUGAACAGAAGCAUCAACCUCUUGGGAAGGUCAACAAAAAAGACCAAGAAGUUGGAACCACAUGCAAGAGGAGAAGUCCCAGGAGACGGUCCAGGAGUACGGGAUGUGCAUUUCAUCGUUUUCUAAACAACCCCUUUCACCUAGCUUAAUGCCUCAAGGAGAGAGGAAGGUGGAGGAAGAGAGAAACAGAGCUGAGGGGAGAACAGGGAACAGGAAGAAAAGAGGUGGGGUGAGGGGGCAAGGGGGACAAGAGCAGGGAGGAGAAGUGGGGAGACCAAGCCUUUGAUCCUCAAGCAUGUCCAACACAGACCCCGCCUGUGGCCCUAGUAUCAUGUUUGGUCCCUUUUUCCCAGCCAGGAACAUCUCUCCUGCCCCAGAACCAGUGAGGCUGGUGGGAGGGGGCCUGGGCGGACAGAAGCGCCUGCUGUGCCUGUGCCCUCAGGCCCCUUCACACACCUUGUCUCAGGAAGCUCCCCUGAGCUGCGGGAGCUGUCAUUCCCAUCCUACAGAUGGGGCUACUGAAGCAGAGAGGUACCCCAUUUGCCUUCAUGCUCUGGGGUUGAACCCCAAAACUCUGCUCUCUCCACAAGCCCAGGGCCCUCUCGGCAUUGAAGACACACAAGAAAGAGGGGCAGAUGACAUUUCACGCCCCACUUGGAAAGCCGAGGUGCGAGGACAGGGGGUAGCAGUCACCUCCACACUCCAUGGAGGAGCUUGAAGUGCAGGGCCAUCUCCCACGGCAGGAAGGGCAACCCCCACCACCUUGCAUCAGUGAAGUUUGCCUAGCAGGUCGAUGAUGUUUAAUCUGCUGUCAUUUUUCCCUUCCCCCGUCAGUGCUCACGGCAGUGGAGAGACCAGCUCAGAUGCUUUCCUCUGAACGACCCCUCACAGGGCUCUUCCCCACCCCCGGAGUCCAAGGAUCCAGCAACUUUUGUGGUUCUCUGCCCAGGGGCAGGCAGUGGUACCCAGCCCUCCUCUCUGUGCCUCACUGGGGAAGUAGAGGUGGGAGCGUGGGGUCACAGAGGACGUCCCCCUUUCCCACAGAACCAGAGCCUCCUCCCAGAUGAACAGGCAACUUCCCUGUGUCUAGCCUCCCUCAACCCAGUGGCUUGUGCCUUUCUUAGUCAGGAAGUCCCUCCUGGUGUCUAGCUUACAUCUUUGCUGCUGCUGCCUGUCUAGUGCUCAGCUGUGACAGAGCAGUCUGCGCUCUAAUGGUCAGGGGAUGGGGAGGAGAGGAAGUUCUUCACUUUAAGCCUGCGAAAGGAGGAGUGGUAAUACCAAAAAAAAAGGAAGAUGGGGCUCACUCACUCAGCUCCAUCUCUACGCCUCCUCAAAGCAAGAGGAAUGGAGGGUAGACGGCUGAAGGCUUCCUGACAGAACUGGAUGAUGAAGGGCAAAGGCAGUGUGCCCCUUCAGUGGCCUCCCAGCCUGGCAGAGACCCCUUAGCAGCAGCUGCAGGAGAAAGGUCGGCACUUCUAGUAAAGCUCAGUGCGCCGACGCUGCUGGGAAUCCCUGCGGCUCCGCCGGAAAGGAGAAAAACCAGAUCCCAGAGGCCCCCUGUGGCCACACGCAGGCAGGAUCCCUGCGGCUCCGCCGGAAAGGAGAAAAACCAGAUCCCAGAGCCCCCUUGUGGCCACACGCAGGCAGGACAGGCAGCUCUGCCUGCCGCUGCCCCCAGGGAGGGCGGGGUGGGAGACCUGGGAGCUCUGGCUCAGGGAGGCAGCUCCCAGUGCCCCAUCUCUGGAGACAGACCCACUAUGCAGCCCUGAGCUCAUCACACCCCCCCGAGUCAGCCCCAGGGGCAAGGUGUGGACAGAGACCAAAGUGUCUCUGCAGCCCUGUGUCAAGGGCUGACGCAAAACCUCCUAAGUACAGGCAGGCACGCACACUCCUGGCUCCACAGGUGUAACAGCACACACAGGGGUCUCCCAAGAGGUGGCUCCCGCAGAUUCUCUGCUGCCCCUGUCCUGAGAAAGAGAGGGCGACUGGAGUGGGUGGUGAGGGCAUAGGUUCAGAGCAAGGACAAUGGCCAAGGCCAGGUUGGGAGGGUGCCCUGGCCCAUCCCUCAUCAUCAAUGGGACCCUGAGGAGCCCAAGACCACUACCACCCCCACACCAGUGUCAAUGCAGAGGUCAGAGGAUGGGUACAGACUCCACG
rnacentral:lncRNA from 1 species